rnacentral:rRNA from 2 species
UAUACAUGCAAGUCGAACGCGUUGGCCCAAUUGAUUGAUGGUGCUUGCACCUGAUUGAUUUUGGUCGCCAACGAGUGGCGGACGGGUGAGUAACACGUAGGUAACCUGCCCAGAAGCGGGGGACAACAUUUGGAAACAGAUGCUAAUACCGCAUAACAACGUUGUUCGCAUGAACAACGCUUAAAAGAUGGCUUCUCGCUAUCACUUCUGGAUGGACCUGCGGUGCAUUAGCUUGUUGGUGGGGUAAUGGCCUACCAAGGCGAUGAUGCAUAGCCGAGUUGAGAGACUGAUCGGCCACAAUGGGACUGAGACACGGCCCAUACUCCUACGGGAGGCAGCAGUAGGGAAUCUUCCACAAUGGGCGCAAGCCUGAUGGAGCAACACCGCGUGAGUGAAGAAGGGUUUCGGCUCGUAAAGCUCUGUUGUUAAAGAAGAACACGUAUGAGAGUAACUGUUCAUACGUUGACGGUAUUUAACCAGAAAGUCACGGCUAACUACGUGCCAGCAGCCGCGGUAAUACGUAGGUGGCAAGCGUUAUCCGGAUUUAUUGGGCGUAAAGAGAGUGCAGGCGGUUUUCUAAGUCUGAUGUGAAAGCCUUCGGCUUAACCGGAGAAGUGCAUCGGAAACUGGAUAACUUGAGUGCAGAAGAGGGUAGUGGAACUCCAUUGG